GAGAUCAGUUUUGUCAUCGUUAUCAUCCUCAACGACUACAUAAUCAUUCAUGUGUACGUUGGCCUCGACAUCCUCAUCGUUAGGUACGUCAAUGACAUCAGUACUCAACACAUCCUCAGCAUAGAACACUACGGCCAAUGGGUUGCUCACAUCUUCUUGCAACGCCUCAUCCAUACCAAACAUGUUAUCAACAUUAAAUGAGCGUGUUUUAGUAGUGACUACUGUGUACCAG
rnacentral:lncRNA from 1 species